UCUAGGGCCAAAGCUUUUGGGUGCAGAGACUCCAAGGUUCCAAGAUAAACAAAUCUGUCGGUGAGAGUGACCAGAGUGUUAGGUCAGUCCAAGGGUCACUUAUAGGUCAUCCUGCUGGGAGCUUGGUCUCUGCUUUGUGUUUAUGCUGGGGAGAAAAGCAGGAGGGGCCAGAGGGUUGGGUCUCCGCUGGGAAAACAUCCCUGGCCUACUCAUCAGAGCCUCUGGAAGUGGAUUGGUAUCCCCUCUGCUCCCAGGAAUCCAGUAAAAGUUUGCAGAGGAUGCAGCAGGUGAGUCCUGUAGACAUCAGAGGGGCUUCGACGCUGCACAGCUGCCACUCAGAGGGGACACUGCUGGCCUCGAUCACAUCAUGGAGACCACAAGGAUGCUGGGAAUGCACUUCCCAUUGGCCGAGCUGAGGAUAUGAGCAGGCCAUGGUAGCAUCUCUUCCUCAAAGAUGAGCCAGCCGUCAUUUGAAGAGGAGGAAAGACUGGAUUGGGGAAGAAUCUGGGGCAAAAUGAAGCCAAAUUGAGAACGAGGAGGAAAGAAGAUGCUAAGGCCGCAGAUAAGCAGGUCUUGAGUGUUACAGCUCUUUUCGAAUUUGUCUAGCAUGCUUUCUGCUUUUUACUGGAAAGUGCCC